UGGGAAUAAAAAGUUCUAUGAA
rnacentral:piRNA from 1 species